UUCUGGAGACUCGGAAAAUCUGCUUCUUUUCCUUUUCAGCUGGCUCCAGGCCACCUGCCUUCCCUAGCUCUGUCUUCCAUCAUCCAAGCCAGCAGCGGUGAGUCUGGUCUCUCGCGUGCUGCCUCCCUCUUGGACUCAGAGGGACCUUUAUGAUUCCACUGGGCCCACAGGAUGGUCGAGGAUCAUCUCCCAGCUCAAGGGUCCCAGGGAAGAUGCUCAUUGACGUGGCUCUGGUCACUCUCCACGAGUUGCCAACUGCUCUGGUCACAGGAUACUGACUUCUGGAGCCAGAGCAUCCCGUGUCGCCUGGCAAGAUGUACCCAGAAGAUUCCGACAUUCACUCCACAGCUCCGGACAAAAGCAUACAACCUGAGUCUACACAUGAGGAAACACCAGGCUGACCACAGAGGAGGGACAGUCUGCUCAAAGGGUAUCCAGAUCAAGGACAGAAUCUCUCAGAUUCAAAGAAACCAGGGAGGCACGAUGGCCAAAUCCGACUCGGGAUUGGGGAAAAACUUGCUGUGAAUGACGUUACUGGCACAGUUGGCAGAGUGGUUAUGGAUUUUAGAUAAUAGCUGUGUCAAAGCUGCUGAAUUUGAUAGCUAUGUGGUUGUACAAGAGAAUGUCAUUACCCUUAGGGAAAAGACCCCAAAAUAUU